GACGAACGCUGGCGGCGUGCCUAAUACAUGCAAGUAGAACGCUGACUACUUUUAGCUUGCUAGAGUAGAAGGAGUUGCGAACGGGUGAGUAACGCGUAGGUAACCCGCCUUCCAGAGGGGAAUAACGUUUGGAAACGAACGCUAAUACCGCAUAACGUACGGUCCUCACAUGGGGGACUGUACCAAAGAUUUUAUCGCUGGAAGAUGAGCUCGCGGCCGAUUAGGUAGUUGGUGAGAUAACAGCCCACCAAGCCGACGAUCGGUAGCCGAACUGAGAGGUUGAUCGGCCACAUUGGGACUGAGACACGGCCCAG
rnacentral:rRNA from 1 species